rnacentral:rRNA from 1 species
CGCGGCCUAUCAGCUUGUUGGUGAGGUAACGGCUCACCAAGGCGAUUACGGGUAGCUGGUCUGAGAGGACGAUCAGCCACACUGGAACUGAGAUACGGUCCAGACUCCUACGGGAGGCAGCAGGAGGGAAUCUUGCGCAAUGGGCGAAAGCCUGACGCAGCGACGCCGCGUGGGGGAUGAAUGCCUUAGGGUUGUAAACCCCUUUCACGAGGGAAGAAACUGACGGUACCUCGAGAAGAAGCCCCGGCCAACUACGUGCCAGCAGCCGCGGUAAUACGUAGGGGGCGAGCGUUGUCCGGAUUUAUUGGGCGUAAAGGGCUCGUAGGCGGCUUGGCAAGUCGGCCGUGAAAACCCAGGGCUCAACUCUGGGACGCCGGUCGAUACUGCCAUGGCUAGGGUCCGGUAGAGGGGAAUGGAAUUCCCGGUGUAGCGGUGAAAUGCGCAGAUAUCGGGAGGAACACCAGUAGCGAAGGCGGUUCCCUGGGCCGGCACCGACGCUGAGGAGCGAAAGCGUGGGGAGCAAACAGGAUUAGAUACCCUGGUAGUCCACGCCGUAAACGUUGGGUACUAGGCGUGGCGUCUUAUCAACGGAUGCCGUGCUCGAAGCUAACGCGUUAAGUACCCCGCCUGGGGAGUACGG